rnacentral:rRNA from 1 species
ACUGGAAUGAACGGCUAAAUGAGGACUAAACUGUCUCUUGCGAGCUAGUCAAUGAAAUUGAUUUUCCAGUACAAAAGCUGGAAUGAACCCAUAAGACGAAAAGACCCUGUGGAGCUUCAAAACCAGAUCCAUUAAGAAUGCUUCUUCGGAUUUUUAGUUGGGGCGACUUCGGAGUACAAAAAAACCUCCAAAAAUGUUAAACAAAAUAUUAAGAUUAACACACCAAAAAUAACACGAGACCCAGCAAUUACACCAAAAUUGUCUGACCAAUGAACCAAGUUACCCCAGGGAUAACAGCGCCAUCCCCUUCUAGAGUCCCUAUCGACAAGGGGGUUUACGACCUCGAUGUUGGAUCAGGACACCCCAAUGGUGCAGCCGCCAUUAAAG